rnacentral:rRNA from 1 species
UACGUAGGGGGCAAGCGUUAUCCGGAUUUACUGGGUGUAAAGGGAGCGUAGGCGGCAUGGCAAGUCAGAAGUGAAAGCCCGGGGCUCAACUCCGGGAUUGCUUUUGAAACUGUCAAGCUUGAGUGUCGGAGAGGUAAGUGGAAUUCCUAGUGUAGCGGUGAAAUGCGUAGAUAUUAGGAGGAACACCAGUGGCGAAGGCGGCUUACUGGACGAUAACUGACGCUGAGGCUCGAAAGCGUGGGGAGCAAAC